ACUUAAAUAGCUUAUAAUUUAGAGCGCAACACUGAAGAUGUUGAUGAGGUAAUUUUUACCUUUGAGUA
rnacentral:tRNA from 1 species